UGGGGAAUUUUGGACAAUGGGGGCAACCCUGAUCCAGCAAUGCCGCGUGUGUGAAGAAGGCCUUCGGGUUGUAAAGCACUUUUGUCCGGGAAGAAAUCGCACCUGAUAAUACCGGGUGUGGAUGACGGUACCGGAAGAAUAAGGACCGGCUAACUACGUGCCAGCAGCCGCGGUAAUACGUAGGGUCCAAGCGUUAAUCGGAAUUACUGGGCGUAAAGCGUGCGCAGGCGGUUGUGCAAGACCGAUGUGAAAUCCCCGGGCUUAACCUGGGAAUUGCAUUGGUGACUGCACGGCUAGAGUGUGUCAGAGGGGGGUAGAAUUCCACGUGUGGCAGUGAAAUGCGUAGAGAUGUGGAGGAAUACCGAUGGCGAAGGCAGCCCCCUGGGAUAACACUGACGCUCAUGCACGAAAGCGUGGGGAGCAAACAGG
rnacentral:rRNA from 1 species